UUCAUAAAAUUUUUUCACAAACAACAGCCCUCUUAUAACAAAUACUCGAUGGAGGGAGCCAUCGGCGGCCAUCUCGCCGUUCAAUCAUCACGCCCAGAAAAUAAGAAGAGAAAAACGGAUGGUUCAUCACCAUCUUCUAAUCCUUCUCCUUAUGUCGUCCUCAUCCGUAUGCCUAUCUUUGAAUGGGACUGGAAGGUAAGGCGCAACUAUGAUAGGUGGUAUACCAUGAAGAUUCCUGCGGACGCCGUCGACGGUACAGAAGGGUCGAUCUCUGAAGUUUGGGCACAAUGGUGUCUAGAUGUGAAAUCUACCUUUGCAUUGGUAGGCUCCGAUCUAUACUGUUUUCGUGGCAUUCUCUUUAAUUAUACUGGUUUGGUUCAAAACAAAAUUUCCGAUGUACGGAAGGUAAACAUUUCUAAUCCCACUGAUCAUUGGAUCCAUGUUCCACCCUUGGAUUUUCCAAGAUGCUGUGCUCACAACUUAGUCGUAGGCGAUAAAUUAUAUGUCUUAAAUAAAUGUCCUUUUUCUCAGUGUUGGGGUGCUGAGGUUUAUGACCCCAUGACUGGAGUAUGGGAAUCAUUGCCUGAGCCUCCAUAUCGUAAGGCAUAUCAUAUUAUCUCUGCAGCUCUUGAGAAUCCAAACAGGAUUCUCGUUGCUACGCUUCCAUUUUUAGAUUAUGAAAGUGAAGAUGAAGAUGAAGAUGAAGAUAAACAUAAAGAUAUUUUUGCAAACUUCAUUAUGUACGACGUGCAGAAUUGUUCUUGGAAAAUUCUUGGCUCUGAACCUCGCAAGAUUCACCCGAAAUGUCCUUGGGGUGAAUUUGGAAAGGCUCUUGCGGUAGGAAAUUAUUUAUAUUGGAUUCUAGAUAAAGCUAACUUGCUGGCCUACAAUUUCGAGUCGGAUUUGUGGCUAACAGGGGAUUUGAAAGGUCUGAAUAUUUCGACCAAUAAACAUCUUGAUGCCAUUCUUCCUUGUUUGAUCCAUUUGGAGAAGAAAAGAUUCUGCGUUAUACACACCACUGAAAUUGAUCGCUAUACACCUGAGAGCUACGUUCAGUGCAUCCUAUUUGAUGUCUUUCCUAUGCCCGAGUUGAAGAGUUUGCGUAUAUCCUUUGUUUCCACCAUCAAAUAUAAGACGGCUCGGACCACUUCCGUCAGGGAUGCCUUUUUAAUGAUCCUUUUGUCAACAAAGCAUGUAGCCAGACACUAGAUUGUGGAUUUCUUACGGUUCAUAUUGUCUGGCUGUAGGGGUAAGUAGAUUGGAGAAGUCAAGCAAGGAGAAAGUGCAAAGAGCACAGGGAAUUAUGAUGGAUGUUAACAUCAAUUCUGGUUAUGGUCUCAAGCAAAGGUUUUAUAGGCACUGGUUGGAUGUAUAUGAGACAUCUGGAAGGAAUGAUUUUAAAAAAGGCAAAGCCUGUUCUAAAUUAUUUUACCUCUCUCUUAUACAAGUGGUCACCUCUAGGGAGGAAACAAAAGUAUUCUAAACUUAACAUCCCAUACUGGAUGAGCCAAGAGCAUUGCUUUGGGCUUUAGUUGACUUGCAGAAUAAAGGAUUGUUGCCGGUUAUGGUUCAGAUUGAUAACUACAUAGUAUUUGAUGAGCUUAACCACAGUCUGUCAUCCUAAAAUGAGGAAUUCGAUGACAUUAUUAGACAUUGCAAGUUGAUUAUUGAUUACUAUCAGAUGCAAGUAGACUGGGACGCUAGGCCAACGUGUUGGACAACUUUCUGGUUGAAAGUGCUAAAAGAGAACAAAAGGAUAUUGAUGACAAAUUUGGGUUGUGUUCUAUGUCGAAGAACUUGGACCGAAAUGUUUGGUCACUUCAAGGUUUACUUGUCUAGGACAUCUCACACUUUACACGGAUGGUGCAAGUAUCUCUUAUCAGAACAAGAUGGAUUGGCACAAAAGUUGUUAAGUUUGAUUAAUAUGGGUGGGUAUACAAUGGAAUCAAAGAACUUACCGCAUGAAACUCUACCUGCCUGUUCAAAAUGGAAUCAAAGAUCUUGGAGCAAAUUCCUAGCAAACAUUUGUUAAGCUCUUUUUCAAAUGAUUGUCGAGACUGUGAAAUGACAGAGAGAUAAAAGUGGAGCUCCGAAGACAUUGAUCCACUUUAAUUUCUCUAUGUCAUUUUAGAUUUGGAGAAGUCAAGCAAGGAGGAAGUGCACAGAGCUUUUGUAACGAAUAUGUUUUUGUUUUUGUUGACGACUCUGAACUCAUGUAUGCACAAAAAUACGAUUGUUUUGUGAUGAAUAUAGUCUAGAUUGGAUUAGGGUAUCCUAGCUAUAUAUAUCAUGACAUUGUCCAAUGCUUUCUAAUUAAUUUUCUUUUUUCUUUUUA